AGCGAACGCUGGCGGCAGGCCUAACACAUGCAAGUCGAACGAACUCUUCGGAGUUAGUGGCGGACGGGUGAGUAACACGUGGGAACGUGCCUUUUGGUUCGGAAUAACUCAGGGAAACUUGUGCUAAUACCGAAUGUGCCCUUCGGGGGAAAGAUUUAUCGCCAUUAAAGCGGCCCGCGUCUGAUUAGCUAGUUGGUGAGGUAACGGCUCACCAAGGCGACGAUCAGUAGCUGGUCUGAGAGGAUGACCAGCCACACUGGGACUGAGACACGGCCCAGACUCCUACGGGAGGCAGCAGUGGGGAAUCUUGCGCAAUGGGCGAAAGCCUGACGCAGCCAUGCCGCGUGAAUGAUGAAGGUCUUAGGAUUGUAAAAUUCUUUCACCGGGGACGAUAAUGACGGUACCCGGAGAAGAAGCCCCGGCUAACUUCGUG
rnacentral:rRNA from 1 species